GGAGCCCAGUCCUGGAUUCCCAGGUUCUCCCAUUCAGUGAUCAGCAUCCAACACAGAUCACUCACCAUGGACUUGUGGCUUAUUUGGCUUUUCGUUGCCAUUAUUUUAUGUGGUGGCCAGUGUGAGGUGCAGCUGGUGGAGUCUGGAGGAGGCUUAGUGAAGCCUGGAAAGUCCCUGAAAAUCUCCUGUGCAGCCUCUGGAUUCACCUUCAGUGGUUAUUACAUGAGCUGGGUCCGCCAGGCUCCAGGGAAAGGCCUGGAAUGGGUCGCGUAUAUUAGUGGUGAUAGUAGCGACAUUGCAUAUGCUGAUGCCGUGAAGGGCCGAUUCACCAUCUCCAGAGACAAUGCCAAGAACACCCUGUACCUGGAAAUGAACAGUCUGAGGUCUGAGGACACAGCCAUGUAUUACUGCACCAGAUUCACAGUGAUGCAAAGUUACUGUGAGAUCAGACACAAACCUUCCUGCAGGGCGCCUGUGACCAGCAGGAGGCGCAGAGAGCAUCCAGCGAUCUGGGUCAGUACCAAGGCAUUGAAAAAAGCCCUGAAUCCUUUUCUCUAUGUUGAUCUUCACGACAAGACAAUCAGUGUAGCGUGCAGAGAUGUAGCGUGCGGAGAUGUAGCGCGCACCAUGGCGCUGUCAUGUCGGGGGCACAGAGCCUGGGCGCCGUUUGCUGUUCCACGUCAAACUUAA